GGACCAAUAGUCUAGUAUGGAUAAGGCUCCGGCCUCCGGAGCCGGAAUUCGCAGGUUCAAAUCCUGCUUGGUCCGCCA
rnacentral:tRNA from 1 species